rnacentral:rRNA from 1 species
UGAGGAAUAUUGGUCAAUGGGCGAGAGCCUGAACCAGCCAAGUAGCGUGCAGGAUGACGGCCCUAUGGGUUGUAAACUGCUUUUAUGUGGGGAUAAAGUGCGUGACGUGUCAUGCAUUGCAGGUACCACAUGAAUAAGGACCGGCUAAUUCCGUGCCAGCAGCCGCGGUAAUACGGAAGGUCCGGGCGUUAUCCGGAUUUAUUGGGUUUAAAGGGAGCGUAGGCUGUCUAUUAAGCGUGUUGUGAAAUAUACCGGCUCAACCGGUGGCUUGCAGCGCGAACUGGUCGACUUGAGUAUGCAGGAAGUAGGCGGGAUUCAUGGUGUAGCGGUGAAAUGCUUAGGUAUCAUGACGAACUCCGAUUGCGCAGGCAGCUUACUGUAGCAUAACUGACGCUGAUGCUCGAAAGUGCGGGUAUCAAACAGG